UUAGCCGACAUACACUUAUUACUUUGCUCAAAAUGGAGACUGGACUAGGGAUUGAUGACUUGAUAUUUGGACAUUCUUCGCAUGCUUGGUGUCAUGGUUUCUCUGAGACUUUUCUACACUCUGUCUCUUUUGAGGAAGGUUCUCAUGCAUGAAAACAUGGUCAUCUCAUGGAGCGGACAAUGGGAUGCUUGGAUCAACGAAGCUGACUAGAAGACCCUUCUAUAGAACUCAUCAACCUAUUCAGGAAAUGAUGGGUUCUUUCUUUCCCUUCUUCCUACAUUCUUCUGUUCCUUUUGUGUUUUCAUUUCUAUGAUCAGUGUGAUCUUUUCUCCACUAUUCCCAUAGCUUGUG